rnacentral:tRNA from 1 species
GGGCGGUUAGCUCAGUUGGUCCAGAGCGCCUGCCUUACAAGCAGGAGGUCAGUGGUUCGACUCCACUACCGCCCACCA